GAUGAACGCUGGCGGCGUGCCUAAUACAUGCAAGUCGAGCGAACAGACGAGGAGCUUGCUCCUCUGACGUUAGCGGCGGACGGGUGAGUAAAACGUGGAUAACCUACCUAUAAGACUGGGAUAACUUCGGGAAACCGGAGCUAAUACCGGAUAAUAUAUUGAACCGCAUGGUUCAAUAGUGAAAGACGGUUUUGCUGUCACUUAUAGAUGGAUCCGCGCCGCAUUAGCUAGUUGGUAAGGUAACGGCUUACCAAGGCGACGAUGCGUAGCCGACCUGAGAGGGUGAUCGGCCACACUGGAACUGAGACACGGUCCAGACUCCUACGGGGGGCAGCAGUAGGGAAUCUUCCGCAAUGGGCGAAAGCCUGACGGAGCAACGCCGCGUGAGUGAUGAAGGUCUUCGGAUCGUAAAACUCUGUUAUUAGGGAAGAACAAAUGUGUAAGUAACUAUGCACGUCUUGACGGUACCUAAUCAGAAAGCCACGGCUAACUACGUG
rnacentral:rRNA from 1 species